CAGCACAGCCAGGAGCCGCCCCGGCAGGGACACAGCGGGCCCGGGUCCCGCUCCCGGCCCGGCACGGCCCGGGCAGCCCGCCAGAUGCUGCUGCCUGCCAUGAUGCUCUGUGUGAUUUGUGCCAUUCCCCAAGGACAAAGCAGAGAGAUCCUUGGUUUGGACAGGUCCUGCAGAGCCUCCUCCACCAGUCUCCCUCCACAGAAACCCAGCUGGCCCUUAACUGUGGCAGCUCCUACAAGCCGACAGGGCCACUAAAGCUCUUACUAACUGCUACAAUAUCAAGCAAAUAUUUUUCUAGCUCUUUUAACCCAUCCACAGGACUUAUCUGCCUCGGUAUUAGCAAGGGGGAAAUCUGGUAAUUUUUGUCCUUUAGUUGGUGUUGCAUGUGGAGAGUGCCCAGGGAAGUCUUGCCAAAUGCCAUUCUCCUCCCAUAGUAGCCCUGGGUGUUUAGCUUUUCGGCUUGUUAAAUGUUUGGGGAAGUGUGACUUGGCUUUUGCUUUUUGAAAAAACAAUGUAGAAAAUACCACUUUCAUUAGUAAUUUUUACCAUUUCCUGGAGCAGCUCCCCUUGGAACCAUCCUGCAGACUGCAGGGCUGCUGCCUAGGCACCCCUGGCCUGGCUGGAUUCCCUGAACAUACAGUCCCAUUCUAAAAGGCAGCCUUGGAGGUGGAUUUGGGUUGGUAAUGUGAGCAGAGCUGAGAGUCAGCAAGGUACAUGCUUUAAAGUGCCAGUGCAUGUGAUUGAGGAGGAAACUUGCACCCAGUGGUGUUUGGGGUGAGUAUUUCCUUUGUAAGUCUUCUGCACAUCUCUUCCAAGGAGAACGUGUCCAUACCUAUUUAUUUCGUGGCUGCUGAGUGCAAAGGUGAUCCACAGGACUUGGGCAGCUCACUGAAUUCGUAUGAAAACUUGGAAGAAAAUCAGGUGGCCAUGCUUGGCUUUAAAAAGAUUUCACUGACAGAGUCGGAAUGAAUUAACUCUGGGGUUCAAACCAGCAGGCAUUGUCAGAUACAAGGGAUUAAAAGGCUUUUUAAUGUGGCUUAGUAGUGUACAGAAGAUUGGCUUACUUGUAUGAGCUCUUCUUUUGUCACAUUGAUCUUUAUUUUGCAUUGUGCUUAGUACAACAGAAACUGGAGGCUGAAGUCUUCUUUCCUGAAUCAUCUGACAGGACUUGGCCCUUUUAUUGCUUAGUAAAAUAUUUUUUGUGAAGGAGGAAUUGAUUUUUGCUAGUGUAGCCACUGUUGAGUAAUAGCUGAAGAAUACCAAGUUGUAAUAAUUUCAUGAGCACUGUAUGUGGCCAGGUCAGUGAGAGGAAGUUACUGUAUGGUGGGUUGUACUUCUCGAUAUUACUUUGCUGUAUAGAUGUAUUGAUCUAACCUAAUAGGGAGCUAGCUGAUGAAGGAAUAAAAGGCAAUUCAGUGGUUCCCCUGUGUCAGCUCUAUGUGACUAAACCCGUGAGGUGGUAAUUAUGGGAAUGAUAGCUCCAGAUCUGAGGGAUGCAGCUGGUUGUCAGGCUGUAAACUAAAAAUCAUAGGAGGAUAAAGUUGGCAGGAACUGAUGGAGGAAAUGCUUUAAGACAAAGGCUUUGCAGAAGAGGGUGGAUGAAGAUGGCCCUUCCUCUCUGCAGCAUUGAAAGUCACACAGAAGGAAAGGCAAGUGUGUUGACCAGCUUAUUGCCCUUAAGAUCUAUUUUGUCUUAAAUGUUUUGGUGCUGAGUAAGUGUUCUGUGGUCAGUACUUACAGCCAUUACUUCAUGGGAGACUAAAGCUGUGAGGUCUGGGUCUGUCUCGGGUCUGCAGAGGUAGCCGUGGUUGAUGCACUGGGGAUGGAACCUGAGAACUGGUCUGCUUGUAGCCAGAAACACAUAUCUGGAGAAACAGUUAGCCAGGCACUUGAGACAGCAAAGUGGAAAUUCAGUCACAAGUUUUGUUUCUUCUUUUGUCUAUAAAUAAAUAGGUUUUAGAAUAGUGGGUGUGUUUUCACAUACAGGUUUAAUUAACCUUGAUGUUCUGAUGUCGUGGUUUGUGUUUGUUCUUUUUUUAAUAUGGCAUAGGCAAAAACACAGUAUCAAAGGUAAGAACAAAUUUAUUACAUAGACACCAUUAAUGUAAAUAUCCUAGUAGUGGGAUGCUGGUCAGUUCCUGUUUCUCAGCUGAAAGGUAAUACAGCAAAAGAGGUUUUUCUGUUGUUGUCCUUUUAUUCACCAUUUAUUGCACUGUUUUCACCACUUGCCAUAUAUAAUCGAUUGGUUGUCCCCUGCUGUUACCAUGGAUAUUUAGUACAUCAACAUGGGAAAGAGACACAUUUUUAUGGAAAGGAAAAUGCAGCUACAAAACUCCUCUUGCACUGAAUGGACAGCUGUGCCAUAUUUUAUGUGAAUACAGCCAAUAAUGGCUUUUUGCUUCUUGUUCUUGCUUGUAUCUACACACACAUCCCUCCUGCACCUCGUGUGUCGUGAGGCUGGUGCCCAGGAGGUGCCUGUAGCUCCUGUGUCCAUUCUGCCUCCCUGGAGCAGGUGAGAAGGGCCAGAGGAAGGUUUGUAGCCUUUGAACUCAGGAGCACUCCAUGGAAGAAUGGCCAUUGCUGCUGGUUAGAGUGGUCCAGCAUAAACAGGAAUCCAAGACCCUCCCUUAGACUCUUGCCACUGGGUUUUUUUGAGAUCAAAGGAGAACACGGUAUUUUGAACAAAAUGUGCAAGGGCCCACCCUUCCUGAAUUGCACUUUUGGUGGUAUGUUCUGUCCUGCAGCUGCAAUACUCUACAGAGGGGUUUGGGUUUUUCCCCUCCCUGCCCUCUUUUAAUAUGCAUCAUGAGAGAAAUUUAAUAGAUGUUUUCACAGGAGCCUCUGAUCCUACACUGCUCUCAUUGUGCCUGUGUUCUGUGAGCAGGGCUGCUGAUCAUUAACAAUAUAACCCUGGCACCUCUAAUUCAUCUGAAGUUCAUGUUAUGUAUUACUUACAUUAGAUCUAGGUGCCAAAACUGACCUGUAAACCUAAAAUGAAAUUGGGACUACAACAUUAAUUUCAUUUAGAUUGUGAAAAGUAGACUAUAAAUAGAAUUCCUGUGGGAACUGUGUAAAUCUUCUUUGACAUUGAUUUGAUGUAAUUCUUUUCCUAAUAGGGUAACUUUAAAUUGUGUAAUCAGUACAUAGUUUAAACCAGCACAGAUUUGUAGCAAAUUUUGCAGUGAGAUGAGUACUAAGAAGCACAUUUGUGGUGUUUCUGAAUUUAAGGAUAACACUGUACAGCUUUAAUGCAGUUGACUAGACAGUCAGGCAUCAUACCCUCCCCAGCCCUGAGCAGACAUGUAAUGACACAAAGCUGUGAUGUCAUUUGUCAAACAUCCCCAUCCCAUCAAUAAAUUUUAAUUUAUAAAAUGCAUGUGCACAGGAUAACGCAAAUUCAGGACGAAGAUUUAUUUUAUGUUCAAAACUCAAGUCAGAGUCUGAAUUUCAGGGUUAGUAACUGAAUCAGAAUUUCAUGUCUAAAUCACAAUAAUUAAUCCUUCAUCUGGGAAAAUUUUGAAUUAAAGACUUAGGUUUUCAAAUUGGAUCCAGGAGUUCAAGAUCUGACUAGCUCUGGAACAAAAAUUUGUGUUCUCUUAAUAGAUGGCAAGUAAGUGUGCUUGUCUGAUGCAUUAAAUUAAACCAAGGACUGAAAUUAUUCUGAAUAUUCAAAUGUUCAUGCUCUAGAUGACAGCAUAUUCUGCUUGCUGUGCUGCUUUUUUUCUUAGGCAUGUUCUUGUUUUUAAAGAUAACAUGUUCAGGUCUGAUUGUUCAAGUUUAAUUCUGCCUGUGAGUAAAUUCAGAGGGUUGGAUUAACACAUGCACUGUCUGUGCAUGAGAGCUCGGGCAUUAGAUUCUCUGCAGGGGAACAUUUAAGGUACUUGAGAUAAUUUGAUCUAUGAAAACAAUAAUUUUGAAUGUUUUACUGCAAAUAACUCAUAAUAUCCUGACAUUCUGUAAAAUGUAUGAUAGUGCUUUUAAACAGGGAAGAUUAUGCUGAAUGUUGGGACAUCUCAAAACUUGCUUGAAGUUUUCUGGGUCUCUUACUCAGCAAGUUUUCUGUAUUGUUUAAAACAAUAUUGUCCUGGUCCUGCUCUAAGUCAGUAGGUGCAAAAGCCUGUUAGGUUGUGUAAGUCAGAUCUCAAUCAAUUUUGGUAUUCAAAAUUACCACUGCAAAGCUGCCUUGCACAACACUUAAUUCAUCUGGGCCUCUGUUAAACUUCCUUUUGUGUCAGUAGAGUUCUUGAAAUGAAUUGAUUCUUCCAGACACAGCAGGUGCUGAUAGCAGGCAGCCCUUGCAUGUCCAUUCUCCCUUCUGCAUGCUUAGGGCUGAUCUUCUGUCUUAAUUGUCUAGAUGUCCCUCCAAGAAGGCAGGCACUGCUUUUUCCUUAAUGAAGUCAAGUUCCUUGUUCUUUCUAAGGUUUCAUUCCAAGGAAUGUCAAGGAACAAGCUUUAAGAUUCUGCUAUACUGUAUUUGCAAAGAAAAGUAAAAUGUGACAAAUAGGAAUCCACUUUAAAACAGAAAAUUGCAUAUAAACUCCACCAGCAGCAAAGACUUGAGAGAGUUUCGGCAGUUAAAAAUUCACAUUCUUCUCCCAACUACUAAGAAAGAAUGAUAAGGAAAAUACGUUUUUUGCACAAAUAUAGUUCCAAAAAUGGGGGAAAAAAAUCUCAAACUUCACUGACAGAAAUUUAGAACAUUCUGAAUCCUCUCAUAUUAUAGCUUGACCCAGCCCUGCUCAAUAAUAAAAAAGUUUACAAGGGAAGGUAGAUUUGCCUUUCUGAUAAGGUAUAAUUAAAGGUACUGCUAAUAAAACUUGAGUGUUGCAGAGGCAGAAAUGACAGUCACAGCUUGAGACCUUCCCUGGCAUGACUAGAUGGGACUUUCAGCUACAAGGUAAAGCAUUUACCACCUUACUCUUGCAAUCUACAGUGAAAGCAGCCAUAUAUUGUCCAAUCCAUUCUGUACUGCAAUCCUAAUAGUGUUGGUUGCUAGGACUAUAAAAACUGUUAAGAAAUGUGAAAACGCUUAAGCUAUAAAAAGCAUAUUGGCAUGACUCUGAUCAUUACACAGUGUGCUUCAAUAAAAAGCAAAUGCAAUUUAA